AGUGAAGGAGUCGUUUACAAAUGUAACUGAAUCACUGAAGGAGUCAUUUACAUUUAUAACAGAAUCAGUGAAGGAGUCGUUUACAAAUGUAAAUGAAUCACUGAAGGGGUCAUUUACAAAUGUAGGACAGGAAGUGUGGAGAAAGUGGGGGAUUCCGGGAUGGACAGACUCUCAGUGUGACUCUCAGUGUGAAAGACAGAAUGGAGUGAUGGUGAAGAAUGCAUGUCUCGGUUUUAAACACUUAGUAAGGGUUCAAUGUUCUCACUGUCUCUCAUCCUUCUUCACACUCUGUAAUGCUCCAACUGCUCAACUGCGUGACUCUCUCUCUCUCUCUCUCUGUGAGAUGAUGUGAGAUGGUUAAAUCUUUAGUGGAAUAUUGAGGAUUUUAGAUCAAAUGUUGCAGGUGUUUUUAAAUCAGUUUGAACAUAAAACUUUAAGAAAGUCAGAAUAUUUCUGCUGUGUUACCGUCACCUGACGUUAUGUUGAUAAAAAUGUUGUCUUUAAAAUAAAUCUGAUUAACACGCAGUUGUUCCCGAGUUAAUCUUUUUGCACAGUGCAUGUUUGAGAUGAUUCCAGAUAGAGAUGAGACAGAUGACGACACAGAUAGAGUUCUCCUUAAAGCCGAUGAUGUCACUGAGACAGAAACGUUCGAACAUAUCUCCUUUUGAGUUCAAUUUUAGAUGAAAAAGGAUUAAAACUUAUGAACACUGAGGCUUUGAGACAGUCUGAGACGUUCCCCUGAGAACCACAUCUUCCGCUGUGCUUCUACUUCUGCUGUCCUUUUUAUGUCUUCACUUAAAAUGUUCUGUUAUAAACGACAGUAUUUAUAAAAACAUUUACAGCAGACAAGCACUUAGAGAUUUGUGAACUCAUUUACUGAGCAGUGUGUGCAUGCGAGAUAUUUCUGGACUAUACAAAGAUAAAUUAUCCCCAAACAUGGCGGAAUUCAUUUACAAAAGUAAGCGGAUCAAUUAAGGAGUCGUUUAUAAUGUAAGUGAGUCACUCCAAAAGCCAUUUAAGGAUUCAUUCACAAUUGAAUUACUUUUCUACUUACUUAAAGAGUCUUUUUCAAAUAUGACUGCACUGUUUGAGAAGUCAUUUACACAAGUGCGUCACUUGAAGAGGCAUUUACAAAUGCUGAUGUUUGACGUUAAUUCGGAUGGUGUUGGCGUUUGAUGUUAAUUCGGAUGGUGUUUGAUGUUAAUUCGGAUGAUGUGGUGUAUGAUGUUAAUUUGGAUGGUGUUUGAGGUUAAUUAGGAUGGUGUGGUGUAUAAUGUUAAUUUGGAUGGUGUUUGAGGUUAAUUAGGAUGGUGUUGGUGUUUGACGUUAAUUCCAAUGGGUGUUUCACGUUAAUUCCAAUGGUGUUGGUGUCUGAAACUGAAACAGCUUCACCUACAGAAAACGUCUCGUACAAGUGAGUCGACUCUCAGCGUGUGAACGACUCACCGAGCGACUCGUUCACAAACGACCCAUCACUAAUAUCCAGAUGUUUCCUCAUGCUCUCAGUCUGUCUGCGUGCUGGAAUAAUCUUUUACAUUCUUGGUAUUUACUCAGGCAGAACACAGGGACGUAUCGAUCUGUAAUACAUUCCUCUUUCCCGUCGUUCUUUUUUUUACUGAGAAGUGUAACCACGGAGACGUGACGAAACUAUCCAUACGUUUUACGCGUGCAAGCCGUCUUGCCGUGGAACGUUCCGGUGAAUCAUUUCUUCAUCCGUUCUCAAACAUGUCACAUUAAGCCUUUAGAAGUCGUUCAACAUCAAUACAAAGACGAAGUGAUGGGGCAAUGACAAACACAGCUGACUGGGAAAUAAAUUCUGAUUGUUCAAAAACCUUCUCGCUUCUCACUGGACCAUUUGUAGACCCUCAAUGGGAAAGACCGGAAGCUUCCUCACGACACACUCGGAUCUUCUGCUCUAAUCAUUACAUUGUGCUUCCUCCAUGUUUACAGACUUGCCUCUGUCUUCACUGUGUAUCUCUACUCCAUCAUUCUGUAUUGAUUCCACUGUUCUUCUGUUCUCCAUCAUGGCAAUGGAUGUCUAAUGGAUGUCUGAUGUCUAACCCUGUUCUUUACCCUGAGGGGAAAAGUUCCUCCUGGAAUUGCACCAUGUAGGAACUUGAAUUUCCUUGUUUGGAAAAAAAAAAAAAAAACACACGAGGAAACCUAAGGAUGGAGAACCUUCUUUUUCUGGGAAGUCGGUGAUGAAGGUGAUGAAUUUCUCUUGUUUGAAAGAUAGACUUUAAGAAAAAAAAGAGAUAUAGUUAUAUAUAUUUCCCUCCAGAGACCCAAAAAGGAUUCACCCUACAACCACCUCUUAUUUGAGAGGGUUCUAAUUUAAGAACUCCAGAGAAACUCAUUGAAGAACCAUUUAAAAAUCACCGUUUUAUUCUUAUGAGUUUACGUUAGCAUCCUAAACAGUUCAUCGGUUUGGUUCUCUUGGGAACCCAGACAGGAUCUUCGUUUCUUUCCAUGUAGAACCUCUUUUGAAGCGUUUUUUACAGUGAGAUUUAGAACCGAAGAUCGUUACUUUAUUUAUUUAGUUCAUUCGUUUAUUUAGAUCGUGAGGCGUUUUAUUUUCACCGCCCCAAGGCUACUUUUUUCUGAAAUCCUUCCAUACACAUUUCAGUACCCAAAGAGCAAAAUGAUAUGUCUGGGUUCUGUUUUAUGUUCUGACCUUUGCUUUUGACUCGAUGAUUCAGAGUUUAACUGGGCUUUAAAAAUGAAAGGUUAGAACUUUAUUGAACCACUUUCCCUGGGAAAUCACUUCACACCACAGGAUGAAGAUGAGAGCACUGCACGCUUUACUCACUUUAGAGAACCGGUCCAAAUUGUGGAAAUGUUCUAGCAGCUCAUAAAGACUUUUACAGAAUCUCACCACAGCUGAACAAAAGAAUCGUUUGGGCUUUGUGCAACAGCGUUUUAGUAACAGUCCGUCCACAAUUGUACUCAUAAAUGAGGCGAAAGCGUGAAUAAGAGAGAGAUUUGGAGCUGAGAUGGUGUUUUCUCUUAAAUGAAGAACUCAUUCAGUGACGCCGGAGGAAGAGGAAAGUUGAUUAACGGUGUUUGUGCACUGUUUAUUGUUCUCUCCUUGUUUCUCUGCUGAUAUCAGGGGCUCUGGUUCUGUCUGACACAAUACAA
ensembl:lncRNA